rnacentral:rRNA from 1 species
GGGACACGUGGUAUCCUGUCUGAAUAUGGGGGGACCAUCCUCCAAGGCUAAAUACUCCUGACUGACCGAUAGUGAACCAGUACCGUGAGGGAAAGGCGAAAAGAACCCCGGCGAGGGGAGUGAAAAAGAACCUGAAACCGUGUACGUACAAGCAGUGGGAGCCUCUUAAUGGGGUGACUGCGUACCUUUUGUAUAAUGGGUCAGCGACUUAUAUUCUGUAGCAAGGUUAACCGAAUAGGGGAGCCGAAGGGAAACCGAGUCUUAACUGGGCGUUAAGUUGCAGGGUAUAGACCCGAAACCCGGUGAUCUAGCCAUGGGCAGGUUGAAGGUUGGGUAACACUAACUGGAGGACCGAACCGACUAAUGUUGAAAAAUUAGCGGAUGACUUGUGGCUGGGGGUGAAAGGCCAAUCAAACCGGGAGAUAGCUGGUUCUCCCCGAAAGCUAUUUAGGUAGCGCCUCGUGAAUUCAUCUCCGGGGGUAGAGCACUGUUUCGGCAAGGGGGUCAUCCCGACUUACCAACCCGAUGCAAACUGCGAAUACCGGAGAAUGUUAUCACGGGAGACACACGGCGGGUGCUAACGUCCGUCGUGAAGAGGGAAACAACCCAGACCGCCAGCUAAGGUCCCAAAGUCAUGGUUAAGUGGGAAACGAUGUGGGAAGGCCCAGACAGCCAGGAUGUUGGCUUAGAAGCAGCCAUCAUUUAAAGAAAGCGUAAUAGCUCACUGGUCGAGUCGGCCUGCGCGGAAGAUGUAACGGGGCUAAACCAUGCACCGAAGCUGCGGCAGCGACGCUUAUGCGUUGUUGGGUAGGGGAGCGUUCUGUAAGCCUGUGAAGGUGGCCUGUGAGGGUUGCUGGAGGUAUCAGAAGUGCGAAUGCUGACAUAAGUAACGAUAAAGCGGGUGAAAAGCCCGCUCGCCGGAAGACCAAGGGUUCCUGUCCAACGUUAAUCGGGGCAGGGUGAGUCGACCCCUAAGGCGAGGCCGAAAGGCGUAGUCGAUGGGAAACAGGUUAAUAUUCCUGUACUUGGUGUUACUGCGAAGGGGGGACGGAGAAGGCUAUGUUGGCCGGGCGACGGUUGUCCCGGUUUAAGCGUGUAGGCUGGU